CAGCAGCCGCGGUAAUACGAGGGGGGCAAGCGUUGUUCGGAAUUAUUGGGCGUAAAGGGCGCGUAGGCGGUUUGACAAGUCUUAUGUGAAAUCUUCGGGCUCAACUCGAAGUCUGCAUGGGAAACUGUCGGGCUUGAGUAUGGGAGAGGUGAGUGGAAUUUCCGGUGUAGCGGUGAAAUGCGUAGAUAUCGGAAGGAACACCUGUGGCGAAAGCGGCUCACUGGACCAUAACUGACGCUGAGGCGCGAAAGCUAGGGGAGCAAACAGGAUUAGAUACCCCCGUAGUCCCUGUCUCUUAUAC
rnacentral:rRNA from 1 species